UGCCAGAGCCACAUCUCCCUGCAGUUAUUGCCUGGUUUCCCACUGAAGCAAAGUACAGUUGAGCUUGGCCAGUACCUGGAUGGGGGAUUUUCUGGGGAAAACUAAGGUUGCUGUGGGAA
rnacentral:rRNA from 1 species